rnacentral:Y_RNA from 1 species
AGCUGGUCCGAAGGUAGUGAGUUAUCUCAACUGAUUGUUCACUGUUACAGAUCGAACUCUUUGUUCUACUCUUUCACCCCUUCUCACUACUGCAUUUGACUAGUCUUAA